GGCCGCAAGGUUAAAACUCAAAUGAAUUGACGGGGGCCCGCACAAGCGGUGGAGCAUGUGGUUUAAUUCGAUGCAACGCGAAGAACCUUACCUGGUCUUGACAUCCACAGAACUUUCCAGAGAUGGAUUGGUGCCUUCGGGAACUGUGAGACAGGUGCUGCAUGGCUGUCGUCAGCUCGUGUUGUGAAAUGUUGGGUUAAGUCCCGCAACGAGCGCAACCCUUAUCCUUUGUUGCCAGCGGUUAGGCCGGGAACUCAAAGGAGACUGCCAGU
rnacentral:rRNA from 1 species